AUUGAACGCUGGCGGCAGGCCUAACACAUGCAAGUCGAGCGAGCGGAGGACGGGUGAGUAAUGUCUGGGAAACUGCCUGAUGGAGGGGGAUAACUACUGGAAACGGUAGCUAAUACCGCAUACCAUCAGAUGUGCCCCGAUGGGAUUAGCGGGGAGGUGGGGUAACGGAGCACCUAGGAGACGAUCCCUAGCUGGUCUGAGAGGAUGACCAGACACACUGGAACUGAGACACGGUCCAGACUCCUACGGGAGGCAGCAGUGGGGAAUAUUGCACAAUGGGCGCAAGCCUGAUGCAGCCAUGCCGCGUGGGGGAAGAAGGCCUUCGGGUUGUAAAGCACUUUCAGCGGGGAGGCGUUACCCGCAGAAGAAGCACCGGCUAACUCCGUGCCAGCAGCCGCGGUAAUAC
rnacentral:rRNA from 1 species